rnacentral:lncRNA from 1 species
AGGUUUGAGAAAGAAAAGUCCUUCGCUCACUUAAAAUUCCACCAAAUGCCCUUAUUCUUCCCCUGUGACUUCUCCAAGAGACCAUGGGACCUUUCAGCUCAGGUAUACACACUGUUGUUCCCAAUUCCUCCCAUUUGUCCUCUUCUCUAGGUCCCCUGUGCUAGGACACCCAACUCACUGAGCACAGCCCCCCCCCUCCUUAAUGAGCACACCAUUAUUAUGUAAUAGCUUCCCCUCCCUCCUCCACCUGUCUGGCCUCUGCCCAGUCCCCAGUCUCUCUCUGGUCUCCUCAGGACUCCAUUGCCAGGAAAGCUGCUGUUUCAGGGAUCAUCUUGCCUGCCCCCCACCUGACUGCAUCUUCUGUGGUCACAGGCUCCUUCACUCAUGGGGCCUGCCUGGGCCCAGGCCCACUUGACGGGUGAUCUCUGGCUGCCUCUGCUCUGGCUACUCUUGUCCCCGGUCUGCUGCUCCCAUGCCCUCCCGGGAUGGCGCUUCACUUCCUCUGAAGUUGUGAUCCCCAGGAAGGUGUCCCACAGGGUGAGUGGAGCUGAGAGACAAGGCCAACUUUCCUAUAAGAUCCACUUCAGAGGCCAAAGACAUGUGGUUCACAUGAAAGUCAAGAGGAGCUUGCUGCCCAAACAUUUUCCUGUUAUCACCGACAAUGAUCAAGGUGCCAUGCAGGAGGACUACCCGUUUGUCCCUCGAGACUGUUACUACCACAGCUACCUGGAAGGGGUUCCUGGGUCCAUGGGCACACUGGACACCUGCUACGGGGGUCUGCAUGGCAUGCUGCAGGUGGAUGACUUCACUUAUGAAAUAAAACCAUUGGAGGCUUCUUCCAGAUUCGAGCAUGUGAUUUCUCUACUUGUGUCAGAAGGAAGACCGUCAGAGUCUCAAAGGUGUAAGAUUGAAGAACAAUCUACAAAUCAGGCAUAUGAAGAGGCAAUACUUUCCGGAGCUCCUAGGGCAGCCCCUGUUUAUUUGUGGUGGCCACAUAAGAAAUAUUUAAAGAUUCACUACACAGUUUCUCACUCAUUAUAUUUAAUGAGGCCUAAUGUGACACAGGCAAUAGAGGGUGUGGUGAUGAUAAACAACGUACUCCAUACGAUUUACAAACAGGGUCUUAUAGACAUCUACGUACGUCUUUUGUGCAUAUGGAAUGGUCGGGAUCCUACAGAUGUAACAAAAAAAAGUAGUGCAUUCAAAGCUAUACAGAGCUUUGGGUUGUGGAAAUUUUAUAAUAUUCACAGAUUUAUUGAACAUGAUACUUCAUUGCUUCUUACAGGACAUAAAAUCUCAGGACAGCAUUUUUAUGGUCACCUGGAUGGAACAUGCAACCCCAACUGGGGAUCAUUAUUUGUAUAUGUAGCAAAUUACCACAUAUUUUUGGCUGCAACCAUUUCAGCACAUGUAUUGGGUCAUAAUAUGGGGCUCCACCAUGAUGUACCUGGCUGCAUAUGUUUUCGAAGAAGCUACUGUGUUAUGACUCCUGAGCCUGGUUUAAUGGAUACAAUGAGCAAUUGUUCUUAUGCGAGACUGCAUCACUGGAUUUCUAGGUGGGAUCCUUGUAUGAGCAUACCAAAUGUCCUAUACAAAAAUUUUCCUUAUGUAGCACCUCGUUGUGGUGACAAGAUCAUAAAUGAGGCAGAAGAAUGUGACUGUGGCUCCUUAAAAGAUUGUAAAGAGAAUAAAUGUUGUGAGACCAAUUGUUACCUCUCCCUUGGCAGUGACUGCAGUGAAGGACCCUGCUGUGUUAACUGCACGUUUGCUCAACCUGGAACAAUUUGCAGAGACCUACUUGGUAUUUGUGAUCUACCAGAAUACUGUGAUGGGAAAACGCAUAAUUGUCCAAAUGACAUGUACACCCAAGAUGGAACCCCAUGUUCAGCAUUAGCUGUUUGUGUGAGAGGAAACUGUAGUGACCGUGACAUGCAGUGUCAAUCCCUUUUUGGCUUCCAAAUUAAAGAUGCUUCACCGAAGUGUUAUGAACAUUUGAAUAUACUAGGUGACCGAUUUGGCAACUGUGGAGUGAGGGUGUCACAAGGAGGAGGAAGACCUUUUAAAUGUGAAGAAGAUAAUGUUCUUUGUGGAAUGCUGCACUGUAGUAAUGUCCAUGAAAUUCCUGGUGGAGGUGAGCACACUACAUUUCGUCAUAUAAUAAUACCAGGUGUUACAGAAGAAAAAUGCUUUGGAUAUGACGCACACCAUGGGACAGAUACGCCAGAAAUGGGGCUUGUAGUGGAUGGUGCAACAUGUGGCCCAGGAAAAUACUGUUUGAAACAGAAUUGUACUUUUUACGAAGACAUGGGUUUUGACUGCGAUGUCAAGACAUGCAACUUCAGAGGGGUGUGCAACAACAAGAAACAUUGUCACUGUAUGAAAGGUUGGAAACCGCCAUCGUGUGACGAGAGAGGAUUGGGUGGUAGUAUAGACAGUGGCCCCCCACCUGACAGAGAAGUAGGUCUCACACCCAAAAUAAUUAUUAAUAUACACCAGGCACUAGCUCUACUGUUUAUUCGUAUGUUUGUUUUUCUGCUUGCAUUAAUCAUUGGUGGCCUUAUCCAAUUAAAAGAAGUUUUGAUGAGAGCUGAAAAAUAAACUGUGGAAGCACCAAUAUUCCUGUUAGUAAAUAAUACUGAAAUGCACAAAAUAGAGAAAAUCAUAUUGACACCUACUGGGAGCAAUGAAAAAUAAUUACUCUGAUAAUU